GGGUUGUGAGGUUAAGCGACUAAGCGUACACGGUGGAUGCCCUGGCAGUCAGAGGCGAUGAAGGACGUGCUAAUCUGCGAUAAGCGUCGGUAAGGUGAUAUGAACCGUUAUAACCGGCGAUUUCCGAAUGGGGAAACCCAGUGUGAUUCGUCACACUAUCAUUAACUGAAUCCAUAGGUUAAUGAGGCGAACCGGGGGAACUGAAACAUCUAAGUACCCCGAGGAAAAGAAAUCAACCGAGAUUCCCCCAGUAGCGGCGAGCGAACGGGGAGCAGCCCAGAGCCUGAAUCAGUGUGUGUGUUAGUGGAAGCGUCUGGAAAGGCGCGCGAUACAGGGUGACAGCCCCGUACACAAAAAUGCACAUGCUGUGAGCUCGAUGAGUAGGGCGGGACACGUGGUAUCCUGUCUGAAUAUGGGGGGACCAUCCUCCAAGGCUAAAUACUCCUGACUGACCGAUAGUGAACCAGUACCGUGAGGGAAAGGCGAAAAGAACCCCGGCGAGGGGAGUGAAAAAGAACCUGAAACCGUGUACGUACAAGCAGUGGGAGCACGCUUAGGCGUGUGACUGCGUACCUUUUGUAUAAUGGGUCAGCGACUUAUAUUCUGUAGCAAGGUUAACCGAAUAGGGGAGCCGAAGGGAAACCGAGUCUUAACUGGGCGUUAAGUUGCAGGGUAUAGACCCGAAACCCGGUGAUCUAGCCAUGGGCAGGUUGAAGGUUGGGUAACACUAACUGGAGGACCGAACCGACUAAUGUUGAAAAAUUAGCGGAUGACUUGUGGCUGGGGGUGAAAGGCCAAUCAAACCGGGAGAUAGCUGGUUCUCCCCGAAAGCUAUUUAGGUAGCGCCUCGUGAAUUCAUCUCCGGGGGUAGAGCACUGUUUCGGCAAGGGGGUCAUCCCGACUUACCAACCCGAUGCAAACUGCGAAUACCGGAGAAUGUUAUCACGGGAGACACACGGCGGGUGCUAACGUCCGUCGUGAAGAGGGAAACAACCCAGACCGCCAGCUAAGGUCCCAAAGUCAUGGUUAAGUGGGAAACGAUGUGGGAAGGCCCAGACAGCCAGGAUGUUGGCUUAGAAGCAGCCAUCAUUUAAAGAAAGCGUAAUAGCUCACUGGUCGAGUCGGCCUGCGCGGAAGAUGUAACGGGGCUAAACCAUGCACCGAAGCUGCGGCAGCGACGCUUAUGCGUUGUUGGGUAGGGGAGCGUUCUGUAAGCCUGUGAAGGUGUGCUGUGAGGCAUGCUGGAGGUAUCAGAAGUGCGAAUGCUGACAUAAGUAACGAUAAAGCGGGUGAAAAGCCCGCUCGCCGGAAGACCAAGGGUUCCUGUCCAACGUUAAUCGGGGCAGGGUGAGUCGACCCCUAAGGCGAGGCCGAAAGGCGUAGUCGAUGGGAAACAGGUUAAUAUUCCUGUACUUGGUGUUACUGCGAAGGGGGGACGGAGAAGGCUAUGUUGGCCGGGCGACGGUUGUCCCGGUUUAAGCGUGUAGGCUGGUUUUCCAGGCAAAUCCGGAAAAUCAAGGCUGAGGCGUGAUGACGAGGCACUACGGUGCUGAAGCAACAAAUGCCCUGCUUCCAGGAAAAGCCUCUAAGCAUCAGGUAACAUCAAAUCGUACCCCAAACCGACACAGGUGGUCAGGUAGAGAAUACCAAGGCGCUUGAGAGAACUCGGGUGAAGGAACUAGGCAAAAUGGUGCCGUAACUUCGGGAGAAGGCACGCUGAUAUGUAGGUGAAGUCCCUCGCGGAUGGAGCUGAAAUCAGUCGAAGAUACCAGCUGGCUGCAACUGUUUAUUAAAAACACAGCACUGUGCAAACACGAAAGUGGACGUAUACGGUGUGACGCCUGCCCGGUGCCGGAAGGUUAAUUGAUGGGGUCAGCGCAAGCGAAGCUCUUGAUCGAAGCCCCGGUAAACGGCGGCCGUAACUAUAACGGUCCUAAGGUAGCGAAAUUCCUUGUCGGGUAAGUUCCGACCUGCACGAAUGGCGUAAUGAUGGCCAGGCUGUCUCCACCCGAGACUCAGUGAAAUUGAACUCGCUGUGAAGAUGCAGUGUACCCGCGGCAAGACGGAAAGACCCCGUGAACCUUUACUAUAGCUUGACACUGAACAUUGAGCCUUGAUGUGUAGGAUAGGUGGGAGGCUUAGAAGUGUGGACGCCAGUCUGCAUGGAGCCGACCUUGAAAUACCACCCUUUAAUGUUUGAUGUUCUAACGUUGACCCGUAAUCCGGGUUGCGGACAGUGUCUGGUGGGUAGUUUGACUGGGGCGGUCUCCUCCUAAAGAGUAACGGAGGAGCACGAAGGUUGGCUAAUCCUGGUCGGACAUCAGGAGGUUAGUGCAAUGGCAUAAGCCAGCUUGACUGCGAGCGUGACGGCGCGAGCAGGUGCGAAAGCAGGUCAUAGUGAUCCGGUGGUUCUGAAUGGAAGGGCCAUCGCUCAACGGAUAAAAGGUACUCCGGGGAUAACAGGCUGAUACCGCCCAAGAGUUCAUAUCGACGGCGGUGUUUGGCACCUCGAUGUCGGCUCAUCACAUCCUGGGGCUGAAGUAGGUCCCAAGGGUAUGGCUGUUCGCCAUUUAAAGUGGUACGCGAGCUGGGUUUAGAACGUCGUGAGACAGUUCGGUCCCUAUCUGCCGUGGGCGCUGGAGAACUGAGGGGGGCUGCUCCUAGUACGAGAGGACCGGAGUGGACGCAUCACUGGUGUUCGGGUUGUCAUGCCAAUGGCACUGCCCGGUAGCUAAAUGCGGAAGAGAUAAGUGCUGAAAGCAUCUAAGCACGAAACUUGCCCCGAGAUGAGUUCUCCCUGACCCUGAAGUCCUGAAGGAACGUUGAAGACGACGACGUUGAUAGGCCGGGUGUGUAAGCGCAGCGAUGCGUUGAGCUAACCGGUACUAAUGAACCGUGAGGCUUAACCUUACA
rnacentral:rRNA from 11 species